ACUCGGAAAGAUAUACAUAUAAUAACUAAAAUUUGUCAGGACUGGAAAGUAGCAGCAAUUUAGUUUACUUAUAAUUAGGUAGCUUUCCGGGUUUU
rnacentral:SRP_RNA from 1 species